rnacentral:tRNA from 1 species
GAAAUGCGAAAAUCAAGAUAAAGCUUCUAACUUUAAUCUUUAGCAGUGUAAUUCUGUUGGUAUUUCU